GUACUUGUACCGACUGGAUGAGCAGCGAACGGGUGAGUAACGCGUGGGGAAUCUGCCUUUGAGCGGGGGACAACAUUUGGAAACGAAUGCUAAUACCGCAUAAAAACUUUAAACACAAGUUUUAAGUUUGAAAGAUGCAAUUGCAUCACUCAAAGAUGAUCCCGCGUUGUAUUAGCUAGUUGGUGAGGUAAAGGCUCACCAAGGCGAUGAUACAUAGCCGACCUGAGAGGGUGAUCGGCCACAUUGGGACUGAGACACGGCCCAAACUCCUACGGGAGGCAGCAGUAGGGAAUCUUCGGCAAUGGACGAAAGUCUGACCGAGCAACGCCGCGUGAGUGAAGAAGGUUUUCGGAUCGUAAAACUCUGUUGGUAGAGAAGAACGUUGGUGAGAGUGGAAAGCUCAUCAAGUGACGGUAACUACCCAGAAAGGGACGGCUAACUACGUGCCAGCAGCCGCGGUAAUACGUAGGUCCCGAGCGUUGUCCGGAUUUAUUGGGCGUAAAGCGAGCGCAGGUGGUUUAUUAAGUCUGGUGUAAAAGGCAGUGGCUCAACCAUUGUAUGCAUUGGAAACUGGUAGACUUGAGUGCAGGAGAGGAGAGUGGAAUUCCAUGGGGAGCGGGGG
rnacentral:rRNA from 1 species